ACCGUAAAAGUGAAGAAAUUUUGGUUUAGANUUUGGAAGAUNNUUUAGGNNNGGGAAGUUUAAGUUUUUAAAAAAAGGUAAAAUUUUGAAAAAANUUAUUCUUUCANAAGNAGAAAGUUUUUAAAAAUUCAGAAGUGAAACUAGGAUUAGAUACCCUAUUAUUAUAGAAUAAAGAGAAAUNUAGGUAGUAAUGGAGGUCUUGAAACUUAAAGAAUUUGGCGGUGUUUUAAUCUAAUCAGAGGAACUUGUGUCUUAACUCGAAAUUACACGUUUUAUCUUACUUAAGUUUANGUUUGUAUAUCGUCGUAAAAAUAAAACUUUGAGGUGAGUAUUUAAUAUUAUUAAANUAAUGAAUUACAGAUCAAGGUUCAGCUNAUAUUUAAGNGUGACAUGAGUUACAAUACUACUUUACGUAAAUGGAUAAUUUUCUNNGAAAAGNGAAUUUUGAAGGUGGAUUUGAAAGU
rnacentral:rRNA from 1 species